rnacentral:rRNA from 1 species
UACGUAGGGGGCAAGCGUUGUCCGGAAUCAUUGGGCGUAAAGCGCGUGUAGGCGGCCCGAUAAGUCCGCUGUGAAAGUCCAGGGCUCAACCCUGGGAUGCCGGUGGAUACUGUCGGGCUCGAGUCCGGAAGAGGCGAGUGGAAUUCCUGGUGUAGCGGUGAAAUGCGCAGAUAUCAGGAAGAACACCUAUGGCGAAGGCAGCUCUCUGGGACGGUACUGACGCUGAGACGCGAAAGCGUGGGGAGCGAACAGG